GAAACCAAAUUCUGAUAUGAAGCUGAUUCUCAAAGCUCACAUUGAUGCUGAUAACCUUUUCUCGCUUGAUUUCGCUUCAAUGGCGUCGACCCAAAUUCCCAGGGAGCUUGCACAUCCACUGAAACAUCUCUAUGGACCGACUCAGGUACUGGGUUCUUGUCGUGGGUUGGUUUUAAUUUCUAAUAACAUGAAUGAUAAUGGUGUUUGGAAUCCUUCUACUAAGGUGUUUAGGAAGUUACCCUUUUGUCAUAUAAACCCUCCGAGGAAACCCCUGGGUGGAC
rnacentral:misc_RNA from 1 species